rnacentral:rRNA from 1 species
UACAGAGGUGGCAAGCGUUGUUCGGAAUUACUGGGCGUAAAGGGCGCGUAGGCGGCUUGGUCAGUCCCGUGUGAAAUCCCUCGGCUCAACUGAGGAACUGCACGGGAAACUGCCUGGCUUGAGUUCGGGAGAGGUGAGUGGAAUUCCUAGUGUAGAGGUGAAAUGCGCAGAUAUCAGGAGGAACACCAGUGGCGAAGGCGGCUCACUGGCCCGGUACUGACGCUGAGGUGCGAAAGCGUGGGGAGCAAACAGG